GAACAGAACUCCUGGAAACACCUCCCCAUCAUGGACUGGCUUCCUUUCUGCCUUCUACCUCUCGCGUUCUCCACAGGUCUCUGCGCCCUGCCUGUGCUGACUCAGCAUCCGUUUGCCUCUGCCUCCCUGGGAGCCUCCGUCAAGCUCACCUGUUCACUGAGCAGUGAGCACAGCAAAUAUUUCAUCCUCUGGUAUCAGCAGAGGCCAGAGAGGGCCCCUCAGUAUAUAAUGAAGGUGAACAGUGAUGGCACCCACAACAAAGGGGAUGGGAUCUCUGAUCGAUUCGUGGGCUCCAGCUCUGGGGCUGACCGCUACUUAACCAUCUCUGACAUCCGCUCUGAGGAUGAGGCUGUGUAUCACUGUGGAGAGCACCAUACAAUUGAUGGUCAGUUUGGGUAUGUCUUCGGCGGCGGGACCCACCUCACCGUCCUAGGUCAACCUAAGGCCAGCCCAGCGGUCACCCUGUUCCCACCUUCCACUGAGGAGCUCGGGACAGACAAGGCCACAGUGGUGUGUCUCAUCAAUGACUUCUACCCGGGCGUUGUGACGGUGGCCUGGAAAGCAGAUGGCAAAGACGUCACCCAGGGAGUGCAGACCACGCAGGCCACCAAACAGAGCAACAACAAGUACAUGGCCAGCAGCUACCUGAGCCUGACUGCAGACCAGUGGCGUUCGCACACAAGAGUCGGCUGCCACGUCACACAUGAAGGCAGCACAGUGGAGAAGAGUCUGGCCCCUGCGGAGUGUUCCUAGCACCUGACCAUCACGCCAUCCUUGGGGGACUAAAGCACGGGGACCCCGGGGAAGAGUCCCCUUCCCGACCCCACCCACCCAUUCCUGCCUUGCUCUCUGAACCCAUAAAUGCUCAAUAAAAUAUCCCCUCUCAAU